AACGAACGCUGGCGGCAUGCCUAACACAUGCAAGUCGAACGAGACCUUCGGGUCUAGUGGCGCACGGGUGCGUAACGCGUUGGAACCUGCCCUUAGGUUCGGAAUAACUCCCCGACAGGGGUGCUAAUACCGGAUAAUGUCUUCGGACCAAAGAUUUAUCGCCGUUGGAUGGGCCCGCGUUGGAUUAGCUAGUUGGUAGGGUAAAAGCCUACCAAGGCGACGAUCCAUAGCUGGUCUGAGAGGAUGAUCAGCCACACUGGGACUGAGACACGGCCCAGACUCCUACGGGAGGCAGCAGUGGGGAAUAUUGGACAAUGGGCGAAAGCCUGAUCCAGCAAUGCCGCGUGAGUGAUGAAGGCCUUAGGGUUGUAAAGCUCUUUUACACGGGAUGAUAAUGACAGUACCGGGAGAAUAAGCCCCGGCUAACUCCGUG
rnacentral:rRNA from 1 species